UCUCUCUCUCUGCUCACUUUCCUUUUUCCUUCAAAAUCUCUUUACCUCACCUAUCCCUCGUGUUCCUCCCUGCAUAGAAAACUUCCUUCUUGGAUUCUUUCAUAUCUCUCCAUCCCCCUUCUCUUUUACUAAAUAGGUUACCUAAUCUCUCUCAUACGUCUCUCCCUCCUAUAAUAUGAAAUCGACUCUCCCUUUCCAUCUCUCCAAUGGAAAACCUUCCUUCUAAAUAGAUUCUCUCUCCAUUGCAUCUCUCUUUUUUGAGUAAUUUCCCUCCUCGAUCUCAUUGCUAUCUUCUACGAGCUGGUUGAAGAUACAAAAUCUUUUUUUUUGUUUUUGGUAGGAGAGGAUACAAUAUUAUUAUUGAAACCGUAAGCGCUGCUGUGACUAUCAUACCUUCUUCCUCUUAUUGUUCAUGUUCUCAACAGUAGGGUCUCCUUUUCUCCUCUUUGUAAGGUGACAUCAAAGAUUUGUAUCUUGCUGGGAAGAUUUGAAGUUAUGAAGAUCUACCAUGGGUAUCAGUUGGUCAUGGAGAAUGAAAAUAAAAAGAUACCGACGGCAUGAUUUAUAUCAGUAUAGCUGCUCCGAGCCUCAGCCCAUCAAUGGAGAGGGGCACUCUUUCUUUUAAAUGGGAAUUCCCAAAGGCUAGACAGAUUUAGAUCAACUUUGAUGGAUCCUCUUUGAGCAACCCAGGAUCUUUUGGUUCUUCUGCUCUUGGAGUUUACAGAGAAUUCUGGCCAGCUCAAGAUCAUACUAAAUCACCUUGGUCUAUUUUAGGUGUAAGGUUGUGAAGAUCUGUCAUGAGUUUCAACAAAAUCAAAAAAGGUCCGACUCUUAGCUUGUUUUGCUGUUACUACUCAAACUUCACAUGUUUGGUACUCUCCAAUACAUUUUGAUUCCCAGCAUCUUGCAUAGAAAGUAACCAAUAUUAUUUUUCAUAGACAUGUAAAUAUGCAUGUUAAGUAUGAACAGACCUCUCCAUUGGUAAUAUAAUGUGUUCUUACUAUUUUAACUGU